UAUAUAUAACACCAUAACACUUUCUCUCUCUUUGCCGGUGCCACAAUCCCUCUCUCUCUCCGACGUACAUUUCCAUCUUUUUAGGGUUUCAUUUCAUGGACUCCGAUUCCUGGAUUUCCACGCGCCUCUCUUCCUCUUCACGCCGCCACCAUUAUCGAUCUGAUCUGUACGCGGAGGAGAGUGAAGGGAACGAUGAUUUCAGGGCGGAGUUUCUAUGCCCUUUCUGCGCCGAGGAUUACGACGUCGUUUCCCUCUGUUGCCACAUUGACGACCACCACCCUAUCCAAGCCAAAAACGGGGUGUGUCCCAUUUGUGGGAAGAAGGUGGGAGUGGAUCUCGUUGGACAUUUUACUACACAACAUGGGAACUUCUUGAGGGUGCAGCGCAAAAGGAGGGUCAGGAAAGGAGGCUCUGCUUCAACAAUUUCUAUAUUGAGAAAAGAGUUACAAGAAGGAGCCUUGCAGUCCCUUCUUGGAGGUUCUUCAUACUUAGCUUCCUCAAAUUCCGAGCCCGAUCCUCUGUUAUCAUCAUUUAUGUUUAACCCAGUUGUAGCUGAUGAGUCUGUGAGUGCAACACCUCCUUCCACUGAAGAUGCUCUAGUAAAAGAAAGUUCAAAAGACGAUUUCUUGAAAAGAAAACCUCAGCAGUUACAGCUAUCAGAAGAGGAUCAAGUAGAGAAGGCUCGGAGGUUUGAAUUCGUGCAAGGGCUUCUGAUGUCCACCAUUCUUGAUGAUAAGUUAUGACUGCAUUUGUAGCUCAUAUGCCAAUGUUGAAAGAGCUGGAGCUGUAAGCUAGAGAGAGGGAGAGUUAUCCAAAACGAUACGAAGCUGCAUCGGAUAAAUAUGUUUUGUCUUCAAGAUUUUAUUCGAUGAUCCAAAUACAUAAAAAGGGUGAGACGGCUGGAGUGUCAAUUUGAGCUAGUCUUCUGCACCAACUGGUUGAAUAUUCUUAUAGGAGCUUGACGAGAAGAGUUGUUCUUGGGAUCAAGUAUAAGUUCGUUAUUAGUUAAAUGUUCCAAAAUAUCUGACGUUUACAUUGCAUAAUGGGUACGCAGAUCAUUAAAUAUGUUUGUAUACUGAAGAUUAUAAAGUCUUAUUUGUAAUGUAAUAGUAUUAAAAAUAUUUUGUUUACUAGUUUUUCUCA